UACGAAGGGUGCAAGCGUUACUCGGAAUUACUGGGCGUAAAGGGUGCGUAGGUGGUCGUUUAAGUCCGUUGUGAAAUCCCUGGGCUCAACCUGGGAAUGGCAGUGGAUACUGGACGGCUAGAAUGCGGUAGAGGGUAGUGGAAUUCCCGGUGUAGCAGUGAAAUGCGUAGAGAUCGGGAGGAACACCAGUGGCGAAGGCGGCUACCUGGACCAGCAUUGAUACUCAAGCACGAAAGCGUGGGGAGCAAACAGG
rnacentral:rRNA from 1 species